rnacentral:rRNA from 1 species
GAUGAACGCUGGCGGCGUGCCUAAUACAUGCAAGUCGAGCGAAUGGAUUAAGAGCUUGCUCUUAUGAAGUUAGCGGCGGACGGGUGAGUAACACGUGGGUAACCUGCCCAUAAGACUGGGAUAACUCCGGGAAACCGGGGCUAAUACCGGAUAACAUUUUGAACCGCAUGGUUCGAAAUUGAAAGGCGGCUUCGGCUGUCACUUAUGGAUGGACCCGCGUCGCAUUAGCUAGUUGGGGAGGUAACGGCUCACCAAGGCACCGAUGCGUAGCCGACCUGGGAGGGUAAGCGGCCACACUGGGACUGAGACACGGCCGAGACUCCUACGGGAGGCAGCAGUAGGGAAUCUUCCGCAAUGGACGAAAGUCUGACGGAGCAACGCCGCGUGAGUGAUGAAGGCUUUCGGGUCGUAAAACUCUGUUGUUAGGGAAGAACAAGUGCUAGUUGAAUAAGCUGGCACCUUGACGGUACCUAACCAGAAAGCCACGGCUAACUACGUGCCAGCCGCCGCGGUAA